UACAAUUUCAAAUUAACGUCGGUUGAAUAUGUCGAUUAGUUUGUAAUUUAAAAAAAGACAGUUUGUGUGUUUGUUAUGCAAAACAUGACUAAGCGAGCUCAGUACCAGGAUCAAAUGUGGACAGUUUGUUGAAGAUUUGAAGAGUUUAAUUGUAUACCACAAUAUCCACUUUUAUACUCAUUUGUUUGGCCAGCAAGAUAAAUGAAUGAUCCAGGAUUGGAAUGCAUUCAUGCUUGCUUCAUGUGCACAACCACCACUGAAUUAUUAUUGCUGAAAUAUGUGCUUGAACGUGGAUAUAUCCAGUAUAAUGAGCCAUUUCUACAGGUCUUCAUUACAAAUGGAUGUUCACUUUAGUAACCUGCUCUACAAGUAAGUGUUCAGGUCAAUUUAGAAUAGCCUCUUUAUUUUUAUUACUAGUAUCCCGAAUUUUCAAAUUUUGUGGCAUAAUAAUUGUAGAUAUUUUACAAAUUAUUUAUGUUUAAUCCUAUGCAAAUGAAUGUUAAGUGAUCAGUAUAGUUUUUUAUCAAGCGUCAUUCCUAAGAGAAGUCAUUGUUAUUUUUAUUUUAACU